GACCAUCUGAGCAUCAACAUAACUACCACGUGAGGUCAAGUGCCUGAAAAGUGCUGUAUAUAUCUAUACACAUUUUCCUUACAUGAAAGAUGCAUCUUAUAGCAAUGCAUAUCAGGCUUUCACCUGCUAAAAAACAUUCUUGUUGCCCAACCUUACCAUCCACCACUAUUCUGACUCCUUAUUACAAGUUGCAACCUAUUUUACAAUUAAAAGAGAGGUUCCUUUAUUUAUAUAAAGUCCCUAAAACUAUGUCUUGAUAUUGGUAGACUUAAGUUUAUCAUAGUUCAAGAUUGCACUUUUUUAAAACUCUGGAUAUAAACUUGAUUCAGUGGUGACUAUACAGCUUGUCAUAAGUCACGGUUGUGAUUUUUCUUGAGAGGAAUCCUUUAUGUGGUUAAUAUCUACUAUAAAUAAGCACUCUUGUGCUUGUUAUAAAGAAUAAUGCAAAUUCCUAGCUCUGUACUGUUUCUGUCCUUCUCUUCAAAAAGGAAAUAGUUGAAAUGGCAUUGUCUAAUCCAAUGGCACUUUAUUAGUAAUACAUUUUAUUUGUCAUAGGUAUAAGAGAACUCUUACCUGCAGAGACUUAUAUGUUUUAGCUAAAACUUUAAAAUUGUAAGAUAUGUAGUAUGGGUAUUAUUAUAAUUGUGUAUUUUACAUUUCAAAAAUGGGUAAAAUUCAUAUAGUAAGCCUUUGACUAUGUUAAAAUAAUUGUGAAAUCCUUUAAAAUGUGGAACGUAAACUAAUCAAUUAUAACUUUUUGUUACAAUAUAUUUGUCUGUUAACUUCAUCAG
rnacentral:lncRNA from 1 species